rnacentral:rRNA from 1 species
CUCUAUACAUCAUUCUAGUAUAGCAAUUAUCCCGUGAAACUGCGAAUGGCUCAAUAAAUCAGUUAUCGUUUAUUUGAUAGUACCUUACUACUUGGAUAACCGUGGUAAUUCUAGAGCUAAUACAUGCUAAAAAUCUCGACUUCGGAAGAUGUAUUUAUUAGAUAAAAAACCAAUGCCCUUCGGGGCUCUUUGGUGAUUCAUGAUAACUUUUCAGAUCGCAUGGCCUUGAGCCGGCGACGGUUCAUUCAAAUUUCUGCCCUAUCAACUUUCGAUGGUAAGGUAUUGGCUUACCAUGGUUUCAACGGGUAACGGGGAAUUAGGGUUCGAUUCCGGAGAGGGAGCCUGAGAAACGGCUACCACAUCCAAGGAAGGCAGCAGGCGCGCAAAUUACCCAAUCCCGACACGGGGAGGUAGUGACAAUAAAUACUGAUACAGGGCUCUUUUGGGUCUUGUAAUUGGAAUGAGUACAAUUUAAACUUCUUAACGAGGAACAAUUGGAGGGCAAGUCUGGUGCCAGCAGCCGCGGUAAUUCCAGCUCCAAUAGCGUAUAUUAAAGUUGUUGCAGUUAAAAAGCUCGUAGUUGAACCUUGGGCCUGGCUGGCAGGUCCGCCUCACCGCGUGUACUUGACCGGCCGGGCCUUUUCUUCUGGAGAACCUCAUGCCCUUCACUGGGUGUGCUGGGGAACCAGGACUUUUACUUUGAAAAAAUUAGAGUGUUCAAAGCAGGCCUUUGCUCGAAUACGUUAGCAUGGAAUAAUUGAAUAAGACGUUGCGGUCUUAUUUUGUUGGUUUCCUAAGACCGCCGUAAUGAUUAAUAGGGACGGUUGGGGGCAUUAGUAUUCAAUUGUCAGAGGUGAAAUUCUUGGAUUUAUUGAAGACUAACUACUGCGAAAGCAUUUGCCAAAGAUGUUUUCAUUAAUCAGUGAACGAAAGUUAGGGGAUCGAAAACGAUCAGAUACCGUUGUAGUCUUAACCGUAACCGUAAACUAUGCCGACUAGGGAUUGGACGGUGUUUCUAUCUUGACCCGUUCAGCACCUUACGAGAAAUCAAAGUUUUUGGGUUUGGGGGGAUUAAUGUCCCAGGUGAUAGAAUAAAUAUAGGU